rnacentral:rRNA from 1 species
GUAGGUGGCAAGCGUUGUCCGGAAUUAUUGGGCGUAAAGCGCGCGCAGGCGGUUCUUUAAGUCUGAUGUGAAAGCCCACGGCUCAACCGUGGAGGGUCAUUGGAAACUGGAGAACUUGAGUACAGAGGAGGAAGGCGGAAUUCCACGUGUAGCGGUGAAAUGCGUAGAGAUGUGGAGGAACACCAGUGGCGAAGGCGGCUUUCUGGUCUGUAACUGACGCUGAGGCGCGAAAGCGUGGGGAGCAAACAGGAUUAGAUACCCUGGUAGUCCACGCCGUAAACGAUGAGUGCUAAUGUUAGGGGGUUUCCGCCCCCCUUAGUGCUGCAGCUAACGCAUUAAGCACUCCGCCUGGGAGUACGGCCGCAAGGCUG